CGUCACGUCACGCAGGCGUUAGUUCAGGUUAGAGCCGUUUCUAUGGCUCUGGUUCAGGUGAAGUCAGACGAUGGACAGUUAUUAUUUACCUGAACUUAAUGCGAUACGACAGAGAGUAAACACGGGAUUCAAGCUUUGAAAGUCAAGGUGUCAUGGGGUCAUGGAUGCUGGUUUGGAUUCUGUGUACCACAGUCACUCUGAUGCCUGUGUGUCUUCAUGGAGCAAUAUCGGUCCGUUUUAAAACCGGACGGCUUCUGAAUGUUGCACUUGGCCAAACUCUUGUUUUGGAAGCCAUAUUUGAGAAGGAUCCAGAUGACAAGAUAGACAUGGUGACGUGGGACCGCAAGAGAGGAAGAGACAAUGUCAGACUGUCACAUGCAAACAGAAUAUCUUUGGAGAAGGAAGAUGCACUUCUGCGGGUCACUGAUGUUGCAGAAGGGGACUUUGCGAUCUACAAGGUCACCGUUACAGACAGUAACGGAUACCAGCAGUACGACUCAAUAGAAGUGCGAAAGAUAGUGGAACCUCUAAAGGCGUCAAUUGCACGCGUGCUGGAGUGUGUUGUGGAUAAUCAUGGCAUGACGCAGUGGGACAGCCCUCAGUUUUCAUGGCUGGUUGAUGGCGUUACAGUAACCAAUCAAACCGCCCUGUUAGCAGACGGCAGUAGACUAGACAUUUCUGAGGUUAAGGGCGUUAACUUCACCUGCAUCAUCAAGAGCAGCCUGGGGACAGUGACUACACAUUAUCAAAUACCAGAAGAAUCGUGCGAAUCUCAGCCCUGUUGUGCAGCACUGAUUGCAGUUGCAGUUGUAACAGCAAUAACACUUAUGGCUGGGUUCAUUGUCAUGAAGAAAUGCAAGAACAAUGCCAUCCUUUAGCCAAUACUGUACACUCACAGACAACAUUUGAUUUUUUUAUUGUAACAAUUUUGGUUUAAUUUAUUUUACUUAUGUUCUAUUUUACGUCAUAUGCUUUUCCCUCUUUUUUUAUGACUUUUAAUGGUGAACUUUUAUUAGAAUUGCAGAUAUGCUGUUCCUGCAUAUAUGUGACUCUCAAACAGUUUUCAGCUUCCAGGUUUAAAUGUUCUCAGGGUAGCAUGUUUUCUGACUAUCUAAACUUUAUUAGCUGUUUCUCUGCAGUUUUUCCGUUUGGUAGAUUUGAUAAAGUUCUUGUUUUAUGUCAAAAGAAUGUUCUUGUGUUCAUCGUAAAGAAUGAGUGCUUCUGAAACUUUAGAAAUGUGAGUUGUUAAAAUGGCUCCUAUGGAUAUUUAAGAUAUAAGCUGUUUUGUUUACAAAAAAUGAAUAUAAGUGCUAUUAAUUUGCUCUCUACCUCAUUUGUUCUUAUUAAUCUGCUUUUGGAGCAUUUGUAAGCACUGAUGUUUAAAUUUGUUCAGAGAAUAAGAGUCCAAACGGAUCUUGAGCGUGGAGUGUGACGGGAGGGUUUUACUGUAUGGAAGAUCUGCUUGUUUGAACAGAGAAUAGUGGCUUUACUCCACAGGAAAGGGAAAAAGGAAACGGCUCAGUUUGCAAACACGGUGACGCCUAAAGACCUUUAACUCUGUGAACUGAGCACAGGAGUUCACAGAAUACAGCAGCCCUGCAGAGACACAAACAGCACGUUUACUGUGGGAGCGUCGCUCUAGUGCUUUUAUGGGACAGGAGUUUCUGGAUACAAGCGUCUCUUUCAGGAAGUUAUGAGAGGUGAGUUAUGAAAAGCGUCCAGUAAUCUCACUCAUAAAGUGAAUGUGUCUGAACUUUGGUCGCAUGUAAUGUAUGAGGAAUAUCAGUCUUGCAGCUGUUUGUUCUAGGUGACAUGGAACUACGACUAGAGCGAUUCAUCAGGACUGUUCUGCUUCUGCACGUCUGCUGUGAGUUAUUCUGCAUGUCUUUGUAUGUUUAUGUGGAUUGUGUUUCAUGCCUCUCUGGAAU
ensembl:lncRNA uncharacterized LOC107688196